rnacentral:rRNA from 1 species
GACGAACGCUGGCGGCGUGCUUAACACAUGCAAGUCGAGCGAGAAACCUUCGGGUUUCUAGCGGCGGACGGGUGAGUAACACGUGGGUAACCUGCCUCACAGAGGGGGAUAGCCUUCCGAAAGGAAGAUUAAUACCGCAUAAUAUUACAGUCUCGCAUGAAGCUGUAAUUAAAGGAGUAAUCCGCUUUGAGAUGGACCCGCGGAGCAUUAGCUAGUUGGAGAGGUAACGGCUCACAAAGGCAACGAUGCGUAGCCUGCCUGAGAGGGUGAUCGGCCACAUUGGAACUGAGACACGGUCCAGACUCCUACGGGAGGCAGCAGUGGGGAAUAUUGCACAAUGGUCGAAAGCCUGAUGCAGCAACGCCGCGUGAGUGAUGAAGGUCUUCGGAUUGUAAAGCUCUGUCUUUUGGGACGAUAAUGACGGUACCAAAGGAGGAAGCCACGGCUAACUACGUGCCAGCAGCCGCUGUAAAAC